AAUGAACGCUGGCGGCGUGCUUAACACAUGCAAGUCGAGCGAGAAAGCUUCUUCGGAAGCUAGUAAAGCGGCGGACGAGUGAGUAAUACGUAAGAACCUACCCUUUUGUGAAGAAUACCUUCGAGAAAUUGAGGCUAAUACUGCAUAAGUCCCUACGGGGAGAAAGGCAACUUUAUGUUGUCGCUGAAGGAUGGGCUUGCGGGCUAUCAGCUAGUUGGUGAGGUAAUGGCUCACCAAGGCGAUGACGGCUAACCGGCCUGAGAGGGUGUACGGUCACGUUGGAACUGAGAUACGGUCCAAACUCCUACGGGAGGCAGCAGUGAGGAAUAUUGCGCAAUGGGCGAAAGCCUGACGCAGCGACGCCGCGUGGAGGAUGAAGGUCUUCGGAUUGUAAACUCCUGUCAAAUGGGAAGAAAGACCCAGGUAUAAGAUAUAUGGGGGAUGACGGUACCAUUAAAGGAAGCACCGGCUAACUUCGUGCCAGCCGCCGCUGUAAAAC
rnacentral:rRNA from 1 species